rnacentral:rRNA from 1 species
UACAGGGGGUGCAAACGUUGCUCGGAAUUAUUGGGCGUAGAGCGCGCGUAGGCGGCUACUUAAGUCGGAUGUGAAAGCCCUUGGCUCAACUGAGGAAGUGCACCCGAAACUGAGUGGCUUGAGUACUAAAGAGGGUCGCGGAAUUCCCGGUGUAGAGGUGAAAUUCGUAGAUAUCGGGAGGAACACCGGUGGCGAAGGCGGCGACCUGGGUAGAUACUGACGCUGAGGCGCGAAAGCGUGGGGAGCAAACAGG